GACGAACGCUGGCGGCGUGCUUAACACAUGCAAGUCGAACGAAGUGGCGAACGGGUGAGUAACGCGUAAUCAACCUGCCCUUCAGAGGGGGAUAACAGUUGGAACCGACUGCUAAUACCGCAUACUGAAGGAGGGGAUUGCGUCUGAUUAGCUAGUUGGGGGGGUAACGGCCCACCAAGGCGAUGAUCAGUAGCCGGUCUGAGAGGGUUAACGGCCAAAUUGGGACUGAGACACGGCCCAGACUCCUACGGGAGGCAGCAGUGGGGAAUCUUCCGCAAUGGACGAAAGUCUGACGGAGCAACGCCGCGUGAGGGAUGACGGCCUUCGGGUUGUAAAGCUCUGUUAAGCGGGACGCGGUACCGGAAUAGAAAGCCACGGCUAACUACGUGCCAGCAGCCGCGGUAAUAC
rnacentral:rRNA from 1 species